rnacentral:sRNA from 1 species
CCAUUGUGAACCUUACCCCCGUACGCGUUGCUUCGGCGGGCGUCCCCUUCUACCGGAGGGGACGCGGCCCCUCGGGGUGCCCGCCGGCGGCCGACCAAACUCUUGAUAUCCCAGUGGACUCUCUGAGAAAACAAACCAAUAAGUUAAAACUUGCAACAACGGAUCUCUUGGUUCUGGCAUCGAUGAAGAACGCAGCGAAAUGCGAAAAGUAAUGUGAAUUGCAGAAUUCAGUGAAUCAUCGAAUCUUUGAACGCACAUUGCGCCCGCCAGUAUUCUGGCGGGCAUGCCUGUCCGAGCGUCAUUUCAACCCUCAAGCCCCGCUUGGUGUUGGGGUCCUACGGCUGCCGUAGGCCCUGAAAGCUAGUGGCGGGCUCGCUACCACUCCGAGCGCAGUAACGCAUCUCGCUAGGGACGUGUGUGGCGGGUUCCGGCCGUGAAACCCCCCCAUCUCGGCGAGUGAAGCGGCAACAGCUCAAAUUUGAAAUCUGGCCUCGGCCCGAGUUGUAAUUUGCAGAGGAUGCUUUUGGGUGCGGUGCCUUCUGAGUUCCCUGGAACGGGACGCCGGAGAGGGUGAGAGCCCCGUACAGUUGGACACCAAGCCCUUGUAAAGCUCCUUCGACGAGUCGAGUAGUUUGGGAAUGCUGCUCUAAAUGGGAGGUAUAUCUCUUCUAAAGCUAAAUAUAGGCCAGAGACCGAUAGCGCACAAGUAGAGUGAUCGAAAGAUGAAAAGCACUUUGAAAAGAGGGUUAAAAAGUACGUGAAAUUGUUGCAAGGGAACGGCUUGUGACCAGACUUGCGCCGGGCUGAUCAUCCGCGGUUCUCCGCGGUGCACUCGGCCCGGCGCAGGCCAGCGUCGGUUCUAGCAGGGGGACAAAAGCUUGGGGAACGUGGCUCCUCCGGGAGUGUUAUAGCCCCUCGCCGAAUGCCCCUGCCGGGACCGAGGUCUGCGCUCCGGCAAGGACGCUGGCGUAAUGGUCACCAGCCACCCGUCUUGAAACACGGACCAAGGAGUCGAGGUUUUGCGCGAGUGUUUGGGUGUCAAACCCGCACGCGUAAUGAAAGUGAACGUAGGUGAGAGCUUCGGCGCAUCAUCGACCGAUCCUGAUGUAUUCGGAUGGAUUUGAGUAAGAGCGUA